rnacentral:lncRNA from 1 species
AGUACUCUUGUCCAUCUGUUCUCUGUUGUGUGAUCCCAAUCCAGAUGAUCCUUUAGUGCCUGAGAUUGCUCGGAUCUACAAAACAGAUAGAGAAAAGUACAACAGAAUAGCUCGGGAAUGGACUCAGAAGUAUGCGAUGUAAUUAAAGAAAUUAUUGGAUAACCUCUACAAAUAAAGAUAGGGGAACUCUGAAAGAGAAAGUCCUUUUGAUUUCCAUUUGACUGCUUUCUAUGAGCCCACGCCUCAUCUUCCCCUGUGCACAUGUUUACCUGAUACAGCAGUGCUGCGUGUUGUACAUACUUGGAACCACAAACUAGAAAUACUGUACUUCUGUACCAACAUUGCCUCCUAGCAGAGAAGUGUGUGUGUGACAAGCCAGUUCUCCAGGCAUAACCUAGGUGUGAGACUAAAAGCUUUCCUUAUUGACUUAAUUUGGAUAACGGCAAGGUGAGGGUUGGUGGGUAUGGUGUGUGCUUGGAUGGAGAAGAAAAGCUCCACUGACCUGUAGGAGAUUGUUUUUUAAGUGAAAUCCUAUUAAACUCAAAACAGUUAUGAAAAGCAAGGUGAAGAACACAAAGCUGUUUCUGUAUUCCUUUUAUUCCGAAGGACCUACGUACGUCUUAGGUGACAGUUAUGACCAACCAGCUUAAACUCUACCCACGUCCUGUAUUUGAAGGUCUAAGUUUAACUGGUCAACAUUGAAAUGGAUCGGAGCUAUUAGUACAGAAAGUGUGAUGGGCUUUGUUCCCAGCUCUUUUACAUCGCCCCCCCUUCACCCUUCCUCCCUCAGCCCCUCUUUCUCUCGUCCAUAUUCUUUGGUUUGUAUGUGGUUUCUCAGUUAAUACAUAGCUAAUAGCUCUUAUUUUUCUUAUGUUUUUAACUGCUUAGGUCUAUCUGGAUGUAAGGGUGAAAAUUCACUUGAUGGAAAUACUUGUGUAUAUUUAAAGACCCAACUGCUCCUCUGGAGCUUGUACGUUCAAGAAUGAUUAAUCUGUGUAAUAAACUGAUUACUACAGUCAUUAC